UUGCCUCUGAUGAGAUCGGUUAACAAAUACCAUCUUUCGGGACUGAUUGGCCUUACAAGCCUUGUUGACAUUUCCGCUAUUCUGAGGCAU